UACGGAGGGUGCGAGCGUUGUCCGGAAUCAUUGGGCGUAAAGGGCGCGUAGGUGGCCACUUCAAGCGUGCGGUGAAAGUCGGGGGCUCAACCCCUGAUCGGCCGUGCGAACUGGGGGGCUGGAGCACUGUAGAGGCAGGCGGAAUUCCGGGUGUAGCGGUGGAAUGCGUAGAGAGUCCGGAAGAACACCGGUGGCGAAGGCGGCCUGCUGGGCAGUUUUGCUGACACUGAGGCGCGGACAGCGGUGGGGAGCAAACAGG
rnacentral:rRNA from 1 species